UGGGGAAUAUUGGACAAUGGGCGAAAGCCUGAUCCAGCCAUGCCGCGUGUGUGAAGAAGGUCUUCGGAUUGUAAAGCACUUUAAGUUGGGAGGAAGGGCAGUAAGCGAAUACCUUGCUGUUUUGACGUUACCGACAGAAUAAGCACCGGCUAACUCUGUGCCAGCAGCCGCGGUAAUACAGAGGGUGCAAGCGUUAAUCGGAAUUACUGGGCGUAAAGCGAGCGUAGGUGGUUCGUUAAGUUGAAUGUGAAAGCCCCGGGCUCAACCUGGGAACUGCAUCGAAAACUGGCGGGCUAGAGUGGGGCAGAGGGUGGUAGAAUUGCCUGUGUAGCGGUGAAAUGCGUAGAUAUAGGAAGGAACACCAGUGGCGAAGGCGACCACCUGGGCUCAUACUGACGCUGAGGUGCGAAAGCGUGGGGAGCAAACAGG
rnacentral:rRNA from 1 species